GUGUAGUUCCCAUUCGCUCUGGGUCAGCUAGCCUGAUCCAACUAGGGACCACGUGUGCAAGGAAGCAGGCUUUCCAAUGUGUGCUCCUCACCAGAUAGGGGAUGGUGCACUUAAAUGGCUGCUGCAUGCAUGAUUCACCAAUCAGGUCUGCGCAUAUGCAGUUCCAGGGCAAAAGCAGACCAGGCUUCGGGAUGAGAAGCAGGCACCAUCUGUUUAGUCUUCCCCCACUUUUUCCAGCCUGGGCAGCUGACUAGCUUUAUUCAGAGCUGCAUGUGUGCGUGGGCUUUAAUUGGGCCACUGCGUUCUGGGCCCACAGGAGCAUUCUGCCUCUAGUCUCAGAUGUAAUAUCUGAGGGUCUGUCAUGAAACAAGGUACUCUCUACAGCCGGUAGCAACUUACUUUAAAGAUCAAGAUUUGUUUCUGGAUCCAUUAACAGUGACAAGAUCCCAGGUAACUCAUGUACAGUGUUGCUAUAUAGUUCAACCACCUUAGGUGAUUUUCCUUCUUCUUUGCAGCCCUGUCUAGCUCAUGAUCUCAGUUAAACUAGCUCAGAUAUUUAGGAAGCAUGCCUCUUGCCAUCCAUGCAAAAGUCUGUUGGUCAUAUGUGGAAAUACCCAGGUCACUCUUGGGGCAGCAAUUAAGUGUGUUGGGACAGUGGAGGAUGCCUAGGUUCACUCAGCAAUGAAGUUUGCAGGGUGACUUGAGGCCAGUCAUUUUCUCUCACCCUAAUUUGCAUCUCAGGAAUGUGAGGAAGAAAAUGGAAUAAGCCCACAUAUACUGAGCUCCUUGGAGGAAUGGCAGGAUAUAAAUAAAAUAAAUACACCCAUGAGAACAUGCUUCCAGGGGUUUCUGGGAGUGCUCUCAUGGGCAACCAGUUUAUUCAGUGAGCCAGCUCAAUGGGCCAGAACCAUGAGAUAUGUGAAUGAGGCAUGUAUCUUCAAAGAUGGUUUCUGGGACUUUUCCCACAGUUCAUGGAUCUUAUACUUUCUGCCGACAAUUCUAGCACUGUAAAUAAAGUACACUGUUCAUCCACUUUUUCUACUAAUGACCACAUUUAAAUGCCAGUGGGCCAUUAGUAGAAAGACACCUUGCUGCCCACACCCAGUGAAAUUUUGGGUUAGUCCUUACUAACUAAAAGUUAAUGAGAUUGCAAUUAUUUCCGCUUCUAAUGCCUAUUCAGUGCCUCUUGACUAUUUGGCAGGUAAUAUAAAUCUUACUUGCCGCCAAGUAUGUGUAGCUACCAUACUUUAUUCAAUAGCAUUUCUACUGAGGAUCUGGAAACCCCUGGUUCCAGAACUAAAAGGAACAUUCCAUAUUUUAUAACCUUGAUACAUAAUAUAGGAAGUAAACACCAGAGUGUUAAUAGCACAACUACAUAUUGCCUUAAUCUACCUGGACAUAAUCAAGCCAAACUUGAGUAUUAAACAAAAAACACAACUGAGCAGUUUAAGCAUGUAAUUAAGUAUUGAAUGAUUACAUAAGUGCUUAGGUUUGGCUGAUUCAUGCCCUCUGCCUCUUUCUGGUUCCAUGAAUGCAGUGCUUUUUUAUUAUUAUUAUUAUUAUUAAAAAAACAAUGUGCCAGUAUUCAUAAAUUGAUAAAAGUGCUGUGGGUGCCAGCACAAAAUGGCUGCCAUGGGCAGCAAAGAAAAGAGAGGUGCUGGUGCUCCAAACCAGUCAGUACUGUCACAAAAAAGCCCUGCAUGAAUGUAUUUCAAUUUCUCUGCUCCAGCAGGAAUAACCACCCAAAAAUGUACUGUAGCAUCUCCUAUGCAGUCUUCCAAGAUGAAAGCUCAUUUGGUCUGAAGUCUUCUGAUUUUCUUGUGGUUCUGUUUGCCCAACCUUUGGUUCCAAAACAAAUUCUGUCAUACCUGUAGCAGCUUUCUACCUUGUUUCGCUCCACCCCAGCACCUUCUAAUCUUGUAUUCCAUCCUGCUCAGAUGAUUUCUCUUUGCUUAGCCACAGAAAUCUGGGGAUUCAACCAUUUCAACUCAAUAGCCUUCUUCUCUUCAGCUGAGGGCAAGUGCGGGCAACAUUUUGCCCUCCAGAUGUUACUCAGCUACAAUUAGCCUCAGCAAGCACAGCCACUGGGUAGAGAUGAUGGGACAACAUCUGGAGGGCAAAAGGUUCCCCACACCUGGCUUAGGGGGAAAAUGCAGGCUGCAAUCCUAUACACACACACUUAUCUGGGACAAAGCCUGAAUUAAUUCAGUGGGACUUCUGAGUAGACCUGUAUAGGAUUGUGCGGUUAGUGGAUUAUUAAACAUUUAAGCAAGAGAACCAGUACUGCCAAUGACUGUGGGAAAUGGCAGUUGCAUCCUCUGAUAGUGAUACGUAGGUGUUAUUUGGAAUAAAGAACAAUGUUGCUGGGACAAUCCACACAAGUAGGGGUCAGUAUGCAACUUAUACAGAGCAAUUCCUUGAGUGAAAAUGUAGCAAGUGCUGAAGAAUAUAGGUACGGUAAGGAGCCUAAAAUAGACAUUUUUUCUCUCUUGACUAAAACAAGCCCCAAUGGCUGUCUUUAUUCAGACCUUAGAAUCACAGAAUUCUAGUCCAACCCCCUGCAAUGCAGGAAUCUUUCACCCAAGUUUCAUGCUCUAUUGACUGAGCUUGUUCAUGAGAAAAGCACAGAAUUGAGUGAUUGAAAUAAACAUUAGCAUUUGCAUUUGGGAGAUACUUUGUGUGUUGUGUUUCAUUGCUUUUGCUGAAAGACAAUGUUCCACUGCUCCCCAGACAUUAAAGCACUGAUUCUUAACUAAUGUGCAUGUGUGUCAAUAGGUAAGUUGUGACAAUUGUAAAUACUAGCAGUCCUGUGUUCACAUUUUCUUGUCAGGUUCUCUUAUCAAACUAGUCCUGAGUCAAUUAUUUUCUGAAAGCUGUGUUCCUUCUUGUCUUAGAGGGGUCUUACAAAACAUUAGCACAGAGUAUAUUCGUCCAUACUUGCAAAACAUGCGUAAAAACUACGUUUACUUGGGACAAGUGCUUAAAUGCUCUCUUUUUCCAAUGACAUAUCAGUCCCUACCCAAUCUAACAUCAAAAUCCCCCACUCAAGGAAAGUUGUUUGUAAGAAAAAAUAAAAUUGGGACAAUAUUUAUUUAUUCUAAUCACAGGCCAAGGUGGUGCUAUGCAGUUCCCAGGCAGUCACCCACCCAGGCGCUGACCAGACUCAGAGCUGCUUAGCCAUCUGUAUAAUGCAUGAUGUUAGCAUGGGCUAAAAUCCAUUCCUGGGUGAUACCUGAGCUAGACAAAAGCAUAUACAAUUUCCACAUUGAGAUUGUAUUUCUAACCCAGGAUAUUCACUGAGAUUCACCAAUGCUAUUGGACAAAUAUAGCCCUCGGCUUGUUUUAAGCAAUGUAGAAAAUCAAAGCUUUCACAUGGUUUGGCCAUUAGCAAGGCAAAAUUAAGUGUGCUUUCAUGGAAACAGAACACAUGCUAGGAAAAAAAUCCAUCUUUUCUCUUUCUCCUUCUCCAGUCAAGUAAUAAUGUAAUGGUAUGUUGAAUAUUUUGAUGGUUUUUGUUCACGAGGAAUAAUGAUUAAAUGAGUGAAGAAUGGGAUAUGUUCUUGCUGCAUUUCAGCCAUUUUGCUAGGCUAUGGCAUGUCUCGAGUGAUGUCUACUUAGCGGAAAGCAACGCAUGUUCUGGGAAUUGUUGCUUCUGUAGCAGUUGGAGGGUUCAAAGGUGAAAUGGAAGCAAGCAUUCCAUUCUAGAACCCUUGGGAAAGGGGAGGAAAGAAGGAGGGGAGGAAAGUUGGGCUAAGUAGGAAAAGUAAAGGCAUGUGAGAGCAGGGAAGUAUUAGAUGUGAUGUGUGAGAGGGGGAGAUAGUAAAAUUAAGUAAAACAAGCCAGUCUUCUUCACUCUUUAGGGUGUAAACAGUGGUGGAAGGAUGCACCAGGGGCAAAGAGCAAAUACAUUCUUAAAGAAAGUCAGUUGCAGCCUCUCUGGUCUAGAUUUGGAGAUCAUCUUAUGCAGGAGUGGGCUGCAGAUUCACUCCCCUACUUCACAAAUUGGUGAUAAGCAGAGUCAGCCGUACAGCACUAUACGUAAUGAAUUGUGACGGGUAGGGACCCAAGACCUCCUGAUAUUGCUGGAAUACAAUCGCCAUCAACACUGACCAAUAAGCCCAUGUGUCAGAAAGCCAGCUCUAAAGAUCAUGUAAUGUAUGUGGUACAGUCCUCCCAGGACUUACCCACCUCAAAUGAAACUGUACUAUUCCAUGUUUUCAUGCUCACCCAUGUCAAACACAUUAAUGCACAUGGAAAGCUAAGCACGCCGAGGAUAAACUUUGUUCCAUGCAGUGAGGUGGUUAUUUCUUCCUUUCAGUCAUAACAUCUGAGCAUAUAAUAAAACGUAAAAUCUAGAUUCAGCAAGUGAGUCCUGUCAAUGGAAGCCCUAAGGGCUUCCACAAUGGGGCUUGCUUCCCAGGGCACACUGCGAAAUUGGCUCAGGGGAGGAGAAGCUAGAUUGUGCCAUUUGGAAAGGCAAAAGGCUUGAUGGAACAAUCGCCUUAGCAUUUACAUUGAUUGUGUAGCUACUUGGAUCUCAUGUGGCUAUCAGUGAUACAAAAGCAGUUGAAAACGGCUAGGCUGCAAACGUAUCACAUUAAAUAUUGGAUUAAUAGAGCAGAAUUUGGGCACUAGAUAUUAGUAAUGAAAUAUCCACGCAAUCAUGGGUUUUAAUGGUUAAGUCGCCAAAUGUUUAACCUCAAAAGCAAAAGCUCUAUUUUCAGCAGCUUUCCCCCCAUCCCAUUCAAUCUUGUACUUUGCAGGCUUUUUUAAAAAAAUAAUAAUGAGUUAUUCUAACAAAACCCGUAAACCUACAGUGUGGUCUAGUGGUAGUCAAAGAAGGCUUUCUUUACACACAGAAGCUCCAAUGUGUAUCGGUCCCUAAUUCAAAUUUUGUUGUUAGGAAAUCAAUUUACCUAUUUUUUAAAUGUCUGCUGUUAAGCUCAAUAAAAUCAUAGCUGUUGAAUAC